CGAUCCGAUCUUCAAACCCUCCCUUUUAAAUCCUGGACUUUACCCCAACUCUUCUCUCCAUGCCAAACAGUUCCUUUCCUCUUCCCUCUCUCUCUAUCUCUCUAUUGUCAGCUUCGCUCUAAAAAUUUUCAGCUCUCAUGGCUACCACUGAAGAUUCCACUAACCCGCAACUCCCUCCAGUUCCAGCUCUUCAAGAACUACCACAAGCUCAACAGCAACUGCAGCAGACACACUCCUCCAUUCUUCCUCAGUACCCUGAGAUGAUUAUGGCGGCGAUCGAGGCUUUGGACGACAAGAACGGCUCUAACAAGUCAGCGAUCUCGAAACAAAUCGAGUCUACUUACCCUGAUCUACCGGCGGCCCACACUACGCUGCUCUCGCAUCACCUCAACAAGAUGAAGCAAAGUGGUCAGCUCCUCAUGGUCAAGAACAACUACAUGAAACCGGACCCCAACGCGCCACCGAAGAGAGGCCGCGGCCGGCCGCCCAAGCCAAAAGCACCAGUUCCACCUGGAACCGUGAUCGGACCCCCCAGGCCACGUGGUCGUCCACCCAAGCCAAGAGAUCCAUUUGCCCCCGUAGCUUCACCCAAGAAGAAGACCACAAGUGGGAGCGGAAGGCCCCGCGGACGUCCACCUAAGAAGUCUAACACGGAAGCUGCGCCUACUUCAGCUCCGGCAGCUCAGGCGAAGGGCGUGAAGAGAGGGAGAGGCAGACCGCCCAAGGUGAAGCCGGCUGUGGCCCCAGUCGCCGGUUAAGGGAAAUGGGAACAAAGAUAGAGAGAGAGAGAGAGAGAGAGAG
rnacentral:misc_RNA from 1 species